CAGACAGUCGCGUGAGCAGGCCGAAAGGCCGUUCAUGAGGAAAGUCCGGGCUCCACAGGGCAAGAAUAACGGGUAACGCCCGCCGAAGGCGACUUCAGGAAAAGUGCAACAGAGAGAUACCGCCGGCUUUGCCGGUAAGGGUGGAAAGGUGCGGUAAGAGCGCACCCGACGGCUGGAGACUGUCCGUCGCUGUAAACUCUAUUCGGAGCAACACCGUGGUUGGAAGCAUAUGGCUUGCCCGGCCGCUUCCCAGAGGUGGCUUGAGCGUUCUGGCAACAGGGCGCCUAGAUAGAUGACUGUCAAAUACAGAACCCGGCUUACAGUUUUGCUCG
rnacentral:RNase_P_RNA from 1 species